rnacentral:snRNA from 1 species
AUACCUUUCUCGGCCUUUUGGCUAAGAUCAAGUGUAGUAUCUGUUCUUAUCAGUUUAAUAUCUGAUUGCGUGGCCAAUGGCCCACACGAUAUUAAAUUUAUUUUAGCUAGGGGAAGGCCUAUAACGGUAGCUUGCUGCUGAGGUCUUCACGCGUCGCCUGGGCGUUGCACUACUGCUCAGGCCUGGCGCUCCCCUC